rnacentral:hammerhead_ribozyme from 1 species
AGUCGAAACACCCCUACGGGGGUGUCCACUAGAGGUAGCCACUCUAGUGCUGACGAGACAGGCUAAU